CGUCCUACGGGGGGCAGCAGUGGGGAAUAUUGCACAAUGGGGGGAACCCUGAUGCAGCGACGCCGCGUGAGCGAAGAAGUAUCUCGGUAUGUAAAGCUCUAUCAGCAGGGAAGAAAAUGACGGUACCUGACUAAGAAGCUCCGGCUAAAUACGUGCCAGCAGCCGCGGUAAUACGUAUGGAGCAAGCGUUAUCCGGAUUUACUGGGUGUAAAGGGCGUGUAGGCGGGCAUGCAAGCCAGAAGUGAAAUCU
rnacentral:rRNA from 1 species